GACGAACGCUGGCGGCGUGCCUAAUACAUGCAAGUAGAACGCACAGUUUAUACCGUAGCUUGCUACACCAUAGACUGUGAGUUGCGAACGGGUGAGUAACGCGUAGGUAACCUGCCUGGUAGCGGGGGAUAACUAUUGGAAACGAUAGCUAAUACCGCAUAAUAUUGAUUAUUGCAUGAUAAUUGAUUGAAAGAUGCUAUUGCAUCACUACCAGAUGGACCUGCGUUGUAUUAGCUAGUAGGUGAGGUAACGGCUCACCUAGGCGACGAUACAUAGCCGACCUGAGAGGGUGAUCGGCCACACUGGGACUGAGACACGGCCCAGACUCCUACGGGAGGCAGCAGUAGGGAAUCGUCGGCAAUGGACGAAAGUCUGACCGAGCAACGCCGCGUGAGUGAAGAAGGUUUUCGGAUCGUAAAGCUCUGUUGUAAGAGAAGAACGGGUGUGAGAGUGGAAAGUUCACACUGUGACGGUAUCUUACCAGAAAGGGACGGCUAACUACGUG
rnacentral:rRNA from 1 species